rnacentral:rRNA from 1 species
AGAGUUGAUCAUGGCUCAGGAUGAACGCUAGCGACAGGCUAACACAUGCAAGUCGAGGGGCAGCAUAAAAGUAGCAAUACUUGGUGGCGACCGGCGCACGGGUGAGUAACGCGUAUGCAACCUACCUAUCAGAGGGGAAUAACCCGGCGAAAGUCGGACUAAUACCGCAUAAAACAGGGGCACCGCAUGGUGAUAUUUGUUAAAGAGAUUCGCUGAUAGAUGGGCAUGCGUUCCAUUAGGUAGUUGGUGAGGUAACGGCUCACCAAGCCGACGAUGGAUAGGGGAACUGAGAGGUUGGUCCCCCACACUGGUACUGAGACACGGACCAGACUCCUACGGGAGGCAGCAGUGAGGAAUAUUGGUCAAUGGGCGAGAGCCUGAACCAGCCAAGUCGCGUGAAGGAAGAAGGAUCUAUGGUUCGUAAACUUCUUUUGCAGGGGAAUAAAGUGCAGGACGUGUCCUGUUUUGUAUGUACCCUGAGAAUAAGGAUCGGCUAACUCCGUGCCAGCCGCCGC